UGGGCCGACAGUGUGGCCAGUGGAAGUUUGUAUCUCACAAAGUUUGAUGUAAUUUAUCCUACUUUGAACUGCAAAAAUGUGUAUUAUUCGAAUAAUAAUGCACUUUUCUAUUCGGAUCAAGACAUUAGUUACAUAAUUCGCAUCCAGCAUAAGUUAUUUUUCUGUUUAAUAACAAUUAUUUGAUUCACAAAUUGGUAGGAUACUGAUCGUGUCGUCUGCUAGCUUCUUCUCGGGCAUGGCAGAUCACAUUGAAGAAGAGAUAACAUAAACUACUGUUUCGAAUCGUCUCAUUAUGGAACGAUGGCGAAACAACCACUAAAAAUCUCUCGAACGCUCUUCUAAAAAACUCUAGUCAAAAACCAAAACCAAAUGUGAUAUUUUAGCGUUUUAACAAGCGUGUAGUGUUAAUAAUUAACGUCGUAACAUAAUACUCAAUCUGUUGAAAACUUCAAUACUCGAACACUAGAUCGUCGUUUCGCUUUCAAAACUAGUUUUAACCAAUGAAUAUAUCCUGUACGAACGGAUUUAGUGCACUAGACGACCAAUCAGAAGCGAGCAUUUUGUUAACCACGCCCAUUGUGACGUCAUUACGAAGGUUACCUCAUCAAUCACUGAGACCGCAUCGGCGAAAGAACGUUUCAGUUCAUGAACUGAAUUGAUUGAACGAUAGUUCAUUGCAAGAAAUUAGUGCCAGAUACGAAUAUAUUUAACGAUUUUUGGCUUUAAUAAUAAUAGUUUGUUUUUUACAUAAAUUUUAAAAUCUAGUCUACUAGUCAUAUUCAAAUUAUCGUCAAACAAUAGGGAUUUGUAGAAGACUGUAGUUUGAAAAUUUUUCUAAAGUGAUACAUAAGUAACAGUAGUUGUGAGUUUUUACAAACAUAUAAGUCCGCUAAAUAAUUUUUGAAAACUUUCUCAAGUGCUGUAAUGUUCUACGAAAAUACGAAACCAUACAUUACUCGAUUUGUGUCUUCAUCACUGAUAACCGCGUUCACGAAACAGUAUCAAGUUUGUUAAUGACGUUGAGGUGGGGUUGACGUUUUUGAUAAGGGUAGUAGAGGGACUAAGGUGAAGAAAGUGCUUGUUGGUGGAGAAGAAGAAAGAUCUUCCCUGAAGCUCGAAGUCUGUCGUUGCCUGCAGGUGUUUUUCGGACCAAAUCGAUUCGCUCUCUCUGCAACAGGUGCUCGGCCUAUAGGCGAUCGAUUCUUCCACCCAUGAGAUCGUAGUACCACCCAUCAUGGUCAUGCCACUCACUUCAGGGAUAUCUUUUGAAGUGAGUGGAGAUGUAGACGAGAUGCAUGUGGACGCGAUGCCUUUGCCUUGGGCGGCAGCCGAAGCGACGCCCCAUCAGACGGCAGUCGGCAGGCCUUCCGCCUCCGCCUCUGCCCGCCUAUGAGAGUGUGGCGCACACCUGACGACACUCUUCCGCCACCGCCUUCACACCAGGAGGAGGACGAGGAAGAGGAGGAGGACGAGGAAGAGGAGGAGGAGGAGGACGACGACGACGACGACGAGGAGGAGGAGGAGCGAGAGCGAAAGGAGCGCGUGUUGGACUCAGGGCUGGACGAUUAUGAUGAGGAGCUGACCGCCCCCGCUCCGCCCCCCGUCCACCCCCGGCCCCCCCGGGUGGCGGUGCCCCCACCCCCCCACACCCCACGGCUCAACCACCACCUCCACCGAGGCGAUGCGACGCAGGCGGAGGAAGACGAGGCUACACUUAGGGAACUUCUUGUUAGUAGGGUGAUGCUCGGUGGCAGUCUACAGAGACAGGUGAGCGUCAUGUCGAUGAAUCUGAGCGCCAAACUGGACGAGCUGCAGCGCAGCGACCGCAGCACGGGGGUGCAGCUCGAGACCACCGUAGCCUUGUGCGAGAUCCGCAGCCAGCUGCAGCAGCUGACGCGGAGUGUGGAGAGCUGUCAGAGCGAGGUGUCGGAGGUGAAGCGCGACAUGGUCGCCAUUCGCAGCGAACUGGACACCGUGCAACAGGUGAAGGAGGAGAUUGAAGAGUUGCGGGAGUAUGUCGAUCGGCUCGAAGAGCAGACGCAUCGGCGGAAGCUGCGUCUACUCGAACAGAUAAUUAUCAAAUGCUGCAGCAUUCAAUUGUGUGAGGGACUAACAUUCUUCCUGUCCUACACCAUUCUGGCUUCCAUGCUUGGAAUGCUACAGUUUGGUUACAAUACCGGCGUCAUAAAUGCUCCAGAAGUUAACAUAGAGAACUUCAUGAAGGACGUGUACAAGGACAGGUACGGCGAGGACAUCCAUGAGGAGUCUGUGAAGCUGCUCUACUCGCUGGCUGUCUCCAUCUUCGCCAUUGGAGGCAUGCUGGGUGGGUUCAGUGGCGGCAUGAUUGCCAACAAGUUUGGCAGGAAGGGAGGAUUACUGCUCAAUAAUGUGCUAGGCAUAACUGGGGCCUGCUUAAUGGGCUUCACCAAAGUGUCCCAUUCCUACGAAAUGCUAUUUGUUGGUCGCUUUAUUAUAGGAGUUAAUUGUGGUUUAAAUACGUCACUAGUGCCAAUGUACAUAUCUGAAAUAGCACCGCUCAACCUGCGAGGGGGUCUGGGCACGGUGAAUCAGCUGGCCGUCACAAUAGGACUGCUCAUCUCACAGAUUCUAGGAAUCGAACAGAUUCUUGGCACUGACGAUGGCUGGCCCCUCUUAUUAGGUCUAGCAAUUUGUCCUGCCAUUCUCCAGCUCAUACUACUGCCAGUGUGUCCUGAAUCGCCUAGGUAUUUGCUCAUAACUAAGCAAUGGGAGGAAGAAGCCAGGAAAGCGCUGCGCCGACUGCGCGCCUCCAAUCAGGUGGAGGAGGAUAUUGAGGAGAUGCGAGCCGAGCAGCGCGCGCAGCAGACGGAGGCCACCAUCUCCAUGACUGAGCUCAUCUGCUCGCCCACCCUCCGCUCGCCCCUCAUCAUAGGCAUCGUCAUGCAGCUCUCGCAACAGCUGUCAGGCAUUAAUGCGGUGCUGUACUACUCGACCAACCUGUUCAUGAGUUCGGGUCUGUCGGAGGAGACGGCCAAGUUCAUGACGAUAGGAAUCGGCGCCAUUAUGGUCGCCAUGACGCUGGUGGUCAUGCCCCUCAUGGACCGCAUGGGUCGCCGCACACUCCAUCUCUACGGCCUCGGCGGCAUGUUCAUAUUCUCCAUAUUCAUCACCAUUUCGUUCCUCAUCAAAGAGUUUUUCGGCUAUGUGCAGGAGAUGAUAGACUGGAUGUCGUAUCUGUCGGUGGUGUCCACACUGAGCUUCGUGGUGUUCUUUGCGCUGGGCCCCGGCUCCAUUCCGUGGAUGAUCACCGCCGAACUGUUCUCGCAGGGCCCUCGGCCGGCCGCCAUGUCUAUUGCCGUGCUUGUCAACUGGCUCGCCAACUUCCUCGUCGGUAUCGGAUUUCCGACUAUGCGGAACUCAUUGGAGAACUACACGUUCUUGCCAUUCAGCGUUUUUCUAGCUAUUUUCUGGAUCUUCACGUACAAGAAGGUGCCGGAAACGAAAAACAAAACUUUCGAAGAGAUUUUAGCGCUGUUCAGGCAUAGUAACGGACGGGGCAGUCUAAGAGAUAGCAGGCUCUACGGUGUUCUAGAACUGUUUGACGGACAGGUGGUUUGAAGUGAGGGGUGGUCUGGGGGGGUUUUCGCCCCGCAGAAGGCCCCCCGUUUCGGCACCCCACAGAUUGAGAACUAUUUUACAGGAGCAUGCUUAACUGUCCCAACGCACUAGAGCCUCGGAUCACCCCUUCUGAGCUUGCAGCUCUAAUGGUAGCCGAAGAAAAGCCUAUUCCGGCUGACUCAUCGGCAGUAGGCGGCGCUGUUGCGGGUGCCUGCCAGCGCGGAAGCGGAAGCGAGCCGAUUCGCCCCCCGCCUCCCCUGCCUCCUCCACGGGCCUUCCCCCCAAACAGUGCUGUCUGACAUCAAUGGCAAGUCCUUGAUGACGUCAUGUUCUGGCCGAAGCUGUUGGCGCGCGGCCGCCUAGUCGGCAUUCUGCAGGCGAAGAGCUCCAACGCCAAGCCGACCGCUCAGCCGGCCGCCUGCAUUGUCAUCCUGGCGGCGGUACCGCCUCCACCGCCCCCACAGCCGCCUCCGCGUGAUGAUGAUGAUGACUGUGACUGUGCUGGUGACUGAACGACCGUGACUCGGAGACUGAAUGUGUAGUGUGACUAUGACCAAAAUGAAGCAACAUGACUCUAAGACUCUGACCAUGACUGAGUAUCAUGACUCUGAUUGUGUGAGCACUAUGACUUGAUAGUGACUUGACCAUGACUGAGUAUCAUGACUCUAAGACUCUGACCAUGACUGAGUAUCAUGACUCAAAGACUCUGACCAUGACUGAGUAUCAUGACUCAAAGACUCUGACCAUGACUGAGUAUCAUGACUCUAAGACUCUGACCAUGACUGAGUAUCAUGACUCAAAGACUCUGACCAUGACUGAGUAUCAUGAUUCUGAUUGUGUGAGCACUAUGACUUGACCGUGACUGAACAUCUGUGCACUUUGAAUAUGACCAUGACUGAAUACAUGUGUGCUAUCACUCUGACCAUGAUCGAAUGUUGUGUGUAUGCUAUGACUGUAACAAUGAUUCAUGACUCUUACUAUGACCAUGAUAUUUAUGACUCUUACUAUGACCAUGAUUUAAAACUUGUAUAUUGACUCUAACCAUUGUUGAACAUGCAACAUGCUUGCUCUCUUUGGUCCUGCACAUGCUGACUAAUUCAAGGGAUUUCAUGUACCAAAAAUUAUUCCAUGUGGAUUCAUUCAAUUAAUUCCAUCCAAAUGAGUCCAUCUUCAUGAAUCUAUGUGGAUUAUAUCCAUCUCUAUAUAUAAUAAAAAAAUGUCUUUCCCUUUCUCUACCAUCUCCAACACCAGUUCCUCUUCCAAACAUGACCAAACAUGCUUGCACUUUUCUCUCAUUCAUGCCAAAGUCGAACUGGUACAAUCAUUAUUUUUUCAUCAACGUUUCAUACUUUUUCUGAAUCAAUUUGAUGCUUGCAAAAUCUGCAUCUUGUCAUCCCACUUCUGACAGCAAAUCAAUUAUUUCAAUUCCCUGGCUCCCAUGACAAAACUAGCAAUCUUGCACUUUGGCUGAUCUUAUUCUAAAACUAAUCUGUUUGAACUCUUUUGAGCUAGUUCUAGAGGCAUCAAUUUAAUUCUCUCAUUCACUGAAGACAUUUUUGAUUGUUUUGAUAAUCUGAUAUCCUACUAAUCAUUAUGUAUUGAUCACCGUGAUGCACUUGAAUUGAUAAUUUUUUUGAUUUAAAUGCUUCCAUCAAUUAACUAUAUAUUGCAUGUAUAUUAGAUAUGCAAUAAAUUAUGCUUCUAUUUCUCAUCUCCAAUCAACCCAUUUUAGUUUGUCUUUUUCACAUUUAUUAAUUUCUCCCCUCUCAUUAUUUGCUUCUGAAAAUCAUUCCAUUUUCUCUUAUUUCUUUAUUUUUCCACUAAAAUUUCUUGACAAAACUGACUUGAAGACUUGUGACUUGUAACCAGUGACCGUUCAGUCAACAUCAGCCAUGUGACACUGUGUUAAUCAGCCGAACUCUAUUAAAACAAUAAACUCUUUCAAUUGCCACAUUGUGGAAUUCUACUACGCUUUAUCAGAAAUAUUAUAACUUUUAGGGGGUGUGACAACGAUGGUGUGUGUAUGUGUGUGUGUUGUUUACUACUAUAUAUAUACUACUACUACAAAAAAUCAUAUUACCUAUCUCUUUCACACAAUAAUAAUAUUUCAACUACAACAACACAUAUAUACGGACACACAGAGAUGGAUUAUGGAUUUUAAUAGUAUUGUGGGAUGAGAGACAACUAGAAUAACCAAAUCAAAAUACUAAUAAUGUAGAUGGUGCACUGCCACUAGUAUUAUCAUCAAAGAGGAAUAACUAUUACUACUACUACAACAAUAUAUUAUGAUCGUAUUUGAGGGAUUUAAUUAUUAUAUUAUUGAUUGUGAUGAGAGUGCUGAAGAUGCAAGUUGGUGUAGUAGGAGUGGUGGUUGUGUCUGUGGUUGCAGCAUCGCGGGCAGUGAGACGGCGCGGCCCGUGAACGGUGACGGUGACUACGCGGCGCGUGCGCGCUGGCGAUUCCCCCGCGACGAGGGCGGCAACGGAGCCCCGCCUGCCCCAACGGCCCCCCCUCUGCCGGGGCCCCCCCUGCCGCCCGACCACCGCCGAUCGCCCACCUACUAGUCUCUAGCACACACUCUCUUUCUCUCUCCAGGAUUUGCUCACUAAAUAAAACAACGGACCUUAAUUAUUAACUAGUUUAAUUGAGAUUAUAAUUACGAUUUAUACAUAAUACAAUUAAUAAUGUAGGGACAAGUUUGUUGCCUCGUGUCGGUGCGUUUUCUGCGCAUGCGUGGAAGUGUGUUUGUGUGUGUGUGGUUAGGUUAGGUUGGAUGGUUUAGGUGAGGUUAGGUCAGUAGAGUGAGCGGUGUGUCUGUCUGUGACAAGGAGAAAUUUAUUUCUCAUAUCAAAUCAUAAUAUCAGGGAACCGAGCUUUGCUCUCUAGUGUAAAAGCAUAGAAAUUUUGUAAUGAAAGAUUGAAUUUAUAGUUUAUAUUUAUUUAUUCAUUUCCUCAAAUUGUUCGCUUAAUACAAUAGGAUAGCCACCAAUAAUAUUCCCAAUCCAAGUCUAAAAAAUAAUAAUGUAGUAAUAUUGUAAAAAGCCACGUUUACACAGAGUUUUCAAUCGAGCUUUUUGUUAUGAUCAAGAAAUUGCGGCAAUUUGUUGCCAAUUUCUUGAAAAGCACAUCAACAUUUUGUCGUGAAUUUUUUGGGAAUCCUUGUUUCCUACAAAAUCUUUGUUGCUUCCCACACAGUGCGAGAAACACUGGAAACGUUGCCUCUAGUUGUCGCUCUCUAGGAAGAAAUUGACAAUUUUUGUUGCUCCAUAUUUGGAAGAGUUUUAAUUAUUAUUGAAUUUCCUUGGAGGUUGAUAUAGUAUGGUACUAUAAUAUAAACCAGUAAAUAUAAAAUAUAGGUAAAAAUUAAUUGUGUUUCAAUGCUUUAAGAAAAUGUAUUUCUUCUUGUUACCAGACAGAUUUAUCAGCUUUGUUAGGAUUCAUCUUUAAUAAUAUUUGAAAAUCGUUAUGAUUGUAUUCAUUAUUUUAGCUGGAGUAGUUCUAUUACUCAAGAUUCUCUUGUAAAAAGCAUUAAACAUAGAAAUAUAUUUUCGACAGAAUAUAAUGAUUACCAAAAUUCUCAAAUAUUAUUCACAUAGUAUAGCCUAUUCAAAUCACGUCUCUUUUACUGUGGUGUACAAAUCAUAGGCACUUUUACUAAAUAUAGCUUGAGUAUCAGCUCGAGAACAGCUUCAUUUAUGUUGGUAAUGGAAAUUGAUCUCAUUUCAUAAAAUAUUAGGUAUUGUACUUUGUAAAUAAAAUCUGUACAACCAUGCCUAUUCAUCACAAUUUAUUUAUAAAUAAUUAUUACUCCCAAGUGUGAGCUUAAUAAAAGUAAUUUGAAUUAUUGGAAUAUUUUUAAAAUGCAUAAUUUUGUUGAGAAAAGUGAUCAGAAAAUCGGCUAUGUGAAUAUUCUAUUGAGUAAGUUUGAAUUGUAUCAGUGAGGAAUGACACAUUUCAACUCAAAUUUGCAAAAAUUGCUAACCACUGUUAAAUUGUUCAAGAGUUAAUAAUUAAUAAAAUUUUCAAAAAUCGUUUGUCUUCCCUAUGAUUGUCAUUGCUGUAAUUUAAUAAUUUUAGGCUUUAACUAUUUAUUUUGAGUAAAAUAAAACUCAGAUUUUAAAUAUCUGAGUAUUCGAUUUUUAUUAAUAAAUUAGACUAGUAACUAUACUAUUCUAACGAACAUCUAUGACUUGAAUGACUUAGUACCGUAAUCUAGAAAAAAAUAUUUUUAAUAUAUGAGAUAAUAAUUACGCCUAGUUUACACUCCGGGUCUCAGUCAAAUCUCAAUGGAAUCGAUAAUCGAUGAAUGAAGAAAAUCAAUUUAAAUUGGUUCAAAUAUUUAUUUUAAAAUGUCAGUCUGAAUCAUAGGCCUACCAUAGAUACCUUAUCUACUUGUUUAGUAGGCCUAAUGUUUGUCAAAAAAAUUAAAUAUCUAAUUCUAUCUAUUAAAUAUCUGGUUCAAGGAUUUCAAAGAGCAUUUUAAAUGUUUCCAUGAUACAAUGUAGGAAAACAUAUUAAUUCCAUUAUUCUUAUCUUUGAUAUUCAAUAUUCUAAAGAUGAUUUUCUUCUACCAGAUUGGCUUUAUUCUCCUAUCAAUUUAAUCUUUUUCUUAUCAUAAAUAACUUACAAUGAGCGAUAUUUUGGAAUUUUCCACCUUUUGGGACCAGAGCCUUCAACUUGUAUGCAAAAUUGACCACUUCAUACUUUUAUAUUUAAUGCUUAAUUAAAAAAAGAUAACUGAUUUUACCCCUAUUGAAUAAAUUUUCACGCAUAAUGAAGUCCAUGGUAACAUUUUCAUCUUAUUUUGAGCAUAAUUCAUCACGAAUUAUUAUUAUUCAAGAGAUCAGUAUUCAUCCAAGGUCUUUCUAAAGAUAUUGUAUUCAACUAAUUAUAAUUAGGUAGGCAAUACGUUAAGACAAUAUCCUUUCAAAUAAUAGAGUUGGUUCUAUCAGUACCUAUCCUAUCCUAAUCAUGAAUUCCUCAUAAGUUCUAGGUUAGGGGUACGGUAGCAUACAAGGAGUUACCUUAUCGCCUAUUGGACUAUUUGAUAAUAUGCAAUACCCGGAUAGAUCAUUCAAAGGAAUAGUAAUGAGUGAUCACAAUAUAAAAAUAUUUAUAAAGUCAAAAUUAUGAAUAUUCUUAGAUUUUAUUCGAAUUAACAGCAAUUUAUUUUCCCAUUAUUGUAAAUCUAGAUGAUAAUACUGUAAUAACUAUUUUGAAAACUUCCAUUUAUUAGGACAAUAUUCAAACAGCUCAUUAAAUCAAAUUUGUUUGCUCAACCAUUGCAUUUUGAUUGUUUCACAUAUCAUUCCUCAACGGUUUUAAGAAAUUUUACUGUAUUUCAAUUGACUUCGCAUCAUUCCAUGCCAUAAUUUUAAUUAAUAUUGUACUUUUUAAAAUUUAUAUGAAUAAACAUUUUAAAUAAUAAUAAUUGAUUCAACGAAAUUUCAAUGGAUAAAAAGGCGUAUCCUUCCUUUUUUAUAUUCGAAACUUGAAAAUAAGCAUUCGAAAAAUAUUUUGUGCUAGAAGUUAAUAUUGUGUAAGGUAAUAAAUUCUACAAUAAAAAACUUCUCAAUAUUAAUCUAUUUCUUAUUGAAAAUCGAAAUUAUCUUGCACAAUUUUAACAAAAAAAUAUUCUUGUUGUGUUGUUCGAAUUUUAUAUUAUUAAAAGUAGCUAAUUAGCUGCUUUGGAAUAUUUUGUUAUGGGUAGUUUUGUUUGUGAAGUAAUUUUUAACUAUUCACAUUUUACCUUGAUAAUGUGAAUUUAUGUUGAGUACAAUGUUGGAAUAGACCAAUAGAUCGAUAAGUUUGAGCUAGCCUUCGCUAAUAAGCUGAGUAGCAGUGAUAAUCUGAUUCAAGAUCAAAAUAGUUUUUGUAAAUCACCGGUUAAAUUAAGAUAAGUUACAUUGUUUUGGAUGCAGUUGAUAUAACAGACGUUAUCUAGAGUAGUGGUGUUGUUUUAAAUAUGGAAAAAUAUAUUCCUAAGAUUGUUUUCUGGUUUUACUAGUUCCAGGAUAUUUUUUCUCUUGUAAAGUACUGAAAUUAAUUUUUUACUAAUAUAAAUAUCACACGCAUUAUAGUCCACUAAACUUUCAAGUUUGCCUUUUAUCAUAGAUUGAUCGAUUUGUAAUCUCUGAAAGCAAUAAUUGUAACUAUAAGUCUUGCUAGUGAUUCUAGGUAAUUAAUAAAUAAUCACCUGAAUGUUGAUUUCUCUACAUCUAUAGCCUAUACUUGCUUGUAGAGACACCAAACAUUUUGUGUGAAUAUUAUUGUAUAUCUUGUAACCAAUACGGUAGACUACUGUUUCAUCAUAUUGUUUAAAACUGUAUCAUAUUAUAUAUAUUGUAAUCAAUACUUGGGCAAAUGCUGUAGUGCUUUAUCAUGUAAUUCAUCACUGGGUCUUUGAUUUUCGUGAAUGAUUGAUGAAUUGACGCAUGCGCAGAAAACGAGAUCAUUGAGGAAAAGUGGAGGGACUAUUGCUAUCAGUCUAAGUUUUAAGUCCGACUGCUGAGUGAAAAGUUAUUCUAAAUGUAAAUAUUGUUAAUUACUUAAGGUUAAUUACUAGGAAAUUAAUCGAUAUUAAUAUAACAUACAUUAUAACAUAAUGAUGAUCGAUUUCAUUUUAAGAAAGUUUUUACGUUGUUUUCUUUUCUAAUAUCGAAGUCGAGGUUGACUAAUGUAAUGUGUGUGUCAUUGAGAAUAAACCAUUCUAGUUAUCAUAAUUAUAUAUAAAAGUAUAUAUAUACAUAUAAAUAUAAUCUAGGACAGCCAUGUAGAUAUUAUAUAAAAUCAGGUAAAUGGGUGAGGGUGCGCGGAAUUAGACGUUCCUCAAUAAAUAAAUAAAUUAAUAAUUGAAUAAAAUACAAUAAUUUCUUAUAGAUUUACUUUACUAAGCGCAUCAUUAUAAUAAAUUAAAUCCGCAACUUUUACUAAAAAUAUAAUUCUGUACAUAUUAUAUGAGUAUUACGUAUGUUAAAUUGGUUAUUGAUUGACUAUUUAUUAUAGAUUAUUAUAUUAUAAAUUUGUGAUUUUAAUGAAACUGGUGAUAACUUGUUUAAAAAUGUUGUUACUGUACAUGUUUUUUACUGAUCUUAUUAUAUUAUUCGUCUCAAUUCAGGUAAUUCCAGAAUUAUUUGAGAAUUCUUCCAAUAGUCUAAUUGUUUUAUUGUUUAUCAUCACGAUAAUAUUAUUAUGGUAAUUAACAAGAUUUAUAUUUAUAAUAAAUUUAUUUUUUUGAAAUUGAAUGACAUGUACAUUUGAAAUCAACAACUUUAGAAUUAUGUUGUGUAAUAGAACAGUGGAGUGUCAUCUCCGCAUGACGUCACAAGUUGAAUUGUAUAAAAUAUUUUGAAAACUGCAAUAAAAAUAUUCUAUCUCUUUA
rnacentral:misc_RNA from 1 species